GAAAAAUAAAAUAGAAAAAAAGGAACCAAGAGAAAGAUAAGUGGGAGCUCCCUGUUCUCUGCUGCAUUGGUGCCUGCAGGAUCUCACUAUGAAGCCCUUGGCUAGCCUGGAACUCAGAAUUCGGAGAUCUGCCUACCCUGCCUCCUGAAAGCUGGGAUUAGAGGUAUGUGCCACUAUGCUUGGCCAAACUCUUUUUAAGAUUUGUGUGUGUGUGUGUAGGAGGAACAAUGUGUAUAUGUACAUGAGAACACCCUUGUAGACCAGAAGAGGGUCCUGCAGCCUAAGUUAACAGGUUUCUGAGGUUCAGGAUGUGGGUGCAGGAAUCUGAACCCAUCAUGACUGAUGAACAAGUGCUCUUAACUGCUGAGCCAUUUCUCCAGUCCCUAGCUUCAAGCCCUUGAUCCCCUACUUCAGUCUCCAGAAUGCUGCCAUUACAGGUGUGGACCAUCACAUCCAGCAUGGAACUUAUUUUGAAAUGCA
rnacentral:lncRNA from 1 species